GCCCGGCUAGCUCAGUCGGUAGAGCACGAGACACUCAAUCUCAGGUAUCGUGGGUUCGAGCCCAACGCUGGGCG